AUGCUUCGGCAGCACAUAUACUAAAAUUGGAAUGAUACAGAGAAGAUGAGCAUGCUCCUGCACAACAAUAACACGGAUAUUCGUGAAGUGGUCUAUGGCUUU